GGAGGGGCAAGCGUUAUUCGGAUUUACUGGGCGUAAAGCGCACGUAGGUGGCAUGGUAAGUCAAAGGUGAAAGCCCUCGGCUCAACCGAGGAAUUGCCUUUGAAACUGCCUUGCUUGAGUCCGGGAGGGGGGAGCGGAAUUCCCAGUGUAGCGGUGAAAUGCGUAGAUACUGGGAGGAACACCGGUGGCGAAGGCGGCUCCCUGGACCGGUACUGACACUGAGGUGCGAAAGCGUGGGUAGCAAACAGGAUUAGAUACCCUGGGUAGUCCACGCCGUAAACGAUGGGCACUAGGUGCAGCGGGUGUCGACCCCCCUGCUGUGCCGUAGUUAACGCAUUAAGUGCCCCCGCCUGGGGAGUACGGUCGCAAGGCUG
rnacentral:rRNA from 1 species